CCAAACAUACAAGUUACACAAUCACUUCCCAAUGUCAAACCCAACUCUCAUCUCUCACCAAAAGAUCCCAAGAAUACUUUGCACAUAAAACUCUUUUUCUUUGAAAUCUAUAAAUGAUUUUCUCAACUUCUAAACAAAUCUUAGCUCUAAACAACUUUGCUAGCUCUCUUUUCUUUCUUUUUCUCUUUUUUUUUUAUAUAUUUUUUUUCGGGGGCCAAGACUUUUCAUAAACUCGAGCUAGAUGUUUAUCUAUUAAUU
rnacentral:lncRNA from 1 species